rnacentral:lncRNA from 1 species
AAUCUUUUUAUUAAAGUGAGACAAGUGAUAAAGAACUGAGUCUUUCUAAAAUUACAGAUUAUGAAUCACCGGAAAAACUGAUGGCGUAUGCAUAUCAAAUCUGUGCUUGAAAACAUCAUAUUGCCAGAAGGCUAUGACUGGAAUGGAGAGUAGAAAAAAGACGCAAAACGUCAAUGACGAAUGUGUAACAGUGAUCAGCUAGAUCAUGUUUGGCAGAAAAGCAGGCCUGGAAAGUAAGCUAGACAGAAGAAAAUAUUAUUUGGAAAAUUAUAAGGAAGAGAAAAUACAUUUAUAGUUCUGUACCACAUCAAAACCAUCUACAUGUAAGUGGACUCAUGCAGUUCAAAGCCAUGUUGUUCAAGGACCAACCUGCACUUAUUAUUAUUAUUUUUUGAGUUAAAAAAAAGUUUUCUGUAGGAAGAAAUAUGCAAGUGUCAUAGUUCGAUAUGGACCCACUCUACUUGGAUCCUGACCUGCCAACAUGGCCGCCUAAAUUCUGGUUGUAGGUCAGAUGCUUUGUUUCCCAUUCCACUGCCAGCUCUUCUCAGUGGAGCUCUUCUUACUCUGGGAUCUUUCUUACCUCCUUUAAC